rnacentral:rRNA from 1 species
UACGAAGGGGGCUAGCGUUGUUCGGAUUUACUGGGCGUAAAGCGCACGUAGGCGGAUCUUUAAGUCAGAGGUGAAAUCCCAAGGCUCAACCUUGGAACUGCCUUUGAUACUGGGGAUCUUGAGUCCGGGAGAGGUGAGUGGAACUGCGAGUGUAGAGGUGAAAUUCGUAGAUAUUCGCAAGAACACCAGUGGCGAAGGCGGCUCACUGGCCCGGUACUGACGCUGAGGAGCGAAAGCGUGGGGAGCGAACAGG